rnacentral:tRNA from 1 species
AUUUAUAUAUUAUAAAAAGUAUAAUUAACUUCCAAUUAAUAAGUCUGAAUAUUUCAAUUCAGUAUAAAUA